rnacentral:rRNA from 1 species
GAUGAACGCUGGCGGCGUGCCUAAUACAUGCAAGUCGAGCGAACGGACGAGAAGCUUGCUUCUCUGAUGUUAGCGGCGGACGGGUGAGUAACACGUGGAUAACCUACCUAUAAGACUGGGAUAACUUCGGGAAACCGGAGCUAAUACCGGACGAUAUUUUGAACCGCAUGGUUCAACAGUGAAGGACGGUCUUGCUGUCACUUAUAGAUGGAUCCGCGCUGCAUUAGCUAGUUGGUAAGGUAACGGCUUACCAAGGCAACUAUGCAUAGCCGACGGGAGAGGGGGAUCGCCCACACGGGAACGUAGACACGCACCCUACGCCUACGGCAGGCAGCAGUCGGGAACCUUCCGCAACAGGCGAGAGCCUUACGGAGCAACGCCGCGUGAGUUACGACGGUCUUCGGAUCGGAAAGCUCUGUUACUAGGGAAGAACAUAUGUGUAAGGAACUGUGCACAUCUUGACGGUACCUAAUCAGAAAGCCACGGCUAACUACGUG